UGGAAUCAUCUGUACAAUUUCCUCUCUUUUCACAGGCUUUUAUGAGUUGAUUUUUCAGCGAACCUUCAAGGGGCUAAGGGGAACAUUACCCUUGGCCACUAUACUGCCAACAACCUAUGAGCCUGGAAGAGGAUCCCAAGUCUCAGAUGAAACCAGGACCUCAGCCAACACCUUGAUUUCAGCCUCAUGAGAUCCUAAGCAGAGGGUACAGUAAAGCCACAUAUGGUGCCUAACCAAAAAAACUAUGAGAUAAUAAAGAUGUGU
rnacentral:lncRNA from 10 species